AAUAAGAUAAGCUAAUUUGUAAGCUGCUGGGCUCAUACCCCAGAAAUGAAGGUAUUAUUCUCUUGUUG
rnacentral:tRNA from 1 species